GUCAGAUGUCAAUCUUGCUGUUCUCAACAGAACCUAGAUGUGUAAGGAAUUGCAGAGUCCCUCCACAUGUAUCUACUGACUAGACUGGAAGCACCUAGUCACUGGCUCUAUUGACCUUAAGACAGAAGAGGCCUAAAAUGGAAUUCUGCUCCCAUGGGUGUGUCUGAGAGGAGCACAUGGCUGGGGUCACAGAAGCAAGUGUGAGCAAAGGAACAAGGAGUAGCUCAAAGAACACAGCCUAAGGGACAAGGCAGCCAUGUGAGGCCAACAUGAACCAGAUAAGGCAACACCCUUCAGGAACAGAGGGUACCCAGAGUUAGAGUCUGAGUUCAAAUCUCUUACUCUAGGUUGUCACAUGAAGUACACAUGGACUCAUUUUUCAUGUUCUGAGACCCCUACUGCUGCUUUGUUCCAAGAUGCUUGCGGAGGUCACAGUUUUCAAAUCACUUUUGGUUCCAGAGCCUGCACCCAGUGACACGCAGUAUUUGUGGGUACAUUGAGGUCCUGAUAGUGGUACCCCUCCUCCCGCCACUCCUCCCAAUUUCCACGAGCAAGAGAGAAAGAAGUCAACUCACAUGGCUGGCUUUGAACUGAGCCAAACUGUGCACCCCAACCCAGCCCACACUGCUCUCUUCAACUAAAAGCCAAACCAAACCCAAGUGCUACUUUUCAAAUGUUGCCACUAACCAAACCAAAGAUUUUC